rnacentral:tRNA from 1 species
AAAUAGCCUGGUGGUCAGGGCACUCACCUGGGAUGUGAGAGAUCCUGGUUCAAGUCCCUGUUU